GACGAAGGAUCCAAGCGUUGUCCGGAUUUACUGGGUUUAAAGGGUGCGUAGGCGGAUAAAUAAGUCAGAGGUGAAAGCCUGCAGCUCAACUGUAGAAUUGCCUUUGAAACUGUUUAUCUAGAGUACACUUGAGGUGGCUGGAAUAUAUCAUGUAGCGGUGAAAUGCUUAGAUAUGAUAUAGAACACCAAUUGCGAAGGCAAGUCACUAAGAUGUAACUGACGCUGAGGCACGAAAGCGUGGGUAGCAAACAGG
rnacentral:rRNA from 1 species